UGUAGAGACGGAUUACGGUUGAUCCAUUAGACUCAUGAUCUAAUUUCUUGUAGGUUCGACUCCUACCUCUACAA
rnacentral:tRNA from 1 species